CCCUUAGAUGUUCAGGGCCGCACGCGCGCUACACUGAUGCAUUCAACGAGCCUAUCCUUGACCGACAGGUCCGGGUAAUCUUUGAAUCUGCAUCGUGACGGGGAUAGAUUAUUGCAAUUAUUAAUCUUCAACGAGGAAUGCCUAGUAGGCGCAAGUCAUCAGCUUGCGUCGAUUACGUCCCUGCCCUUUGUACACACCGCCCGUCGCUCCUACCGAUUGGGUGUGCUGGUGAAAUGUUCGGAUCGGCCGUUUGUCGCGGUUUCCGCGGCUCGUGGCUGAGAAGUUCAUUAAACCCUCCCACCUAGAGGAAGGAGAAGUCGUAACA
rnacentral:rRNA from 1 species